AAAAUCUCGUAACUUCUAAGUGAACCAGGCAGUUUCCAAAACCUGCCUUUUAGCUAUUAAGCUAUAAAUAUUUGAAAAAAGUAUUUACAUUGACAAAUAACUAUGAAGUUUUUAGAACUUAUGAAGAUCAUGAUGAAGAAAAAACUAUUUGUAAUAUUAUCAAAUUGCUUAUUCCUUUCUGAAGUCAUUUAUUCAAUAUCAUUUAUUUGCAGAUAAUAGGUACCAGGCAUUGAGAAAUUCAGAAUAAAUAAGAAAAUGGAAUAAACAAAGGGUUAUAAAAAAAUCUAGGAUGGGUUAUUCAUUUUAAAAGAGAAUGGGGCUUAGGUGAAAAAAAGCAAAAAUAUACACAAGGACUUGAACAUUCUAACAUAAUGAGCAAGUCAUACCCUGCCAGAUGCACGAGAGUGGAUGACAGGAUGUGCUGGAAAGGAACAUGGGAAGUACCUAAAAUGAAAAGGACCUGAAAUGCAAUUCUAAAGAUUUCGUCUAAAAGAAAUGGCAAGUUGGCAGAUAAUUUUUAAAUUCAAGUGUAAAUAAUCUGAUAAGUAUUUUAGAAAGCUGACUGGAUGGUAUAAAGAGGGUGCAUUAGAGAAGGAAAAUAUGGGUGGCAGGGAGAUCUAUGAGGGUUUUGUGAUGGGUUGAAUGGUGUCCUCCCAGGAGAUAUGUUGAAGCCCUAUUUUUGGUACCUGUGAAUAUGACUUCAUUUGGAAAUAGGAUCUUUGCAGAUGAAAUCUAGUUAAGAUGGGUUCAUUAAGGUGGGCCCUAAUUCAAUAUGACUGUUUUCCUUAUAAAAAAAGGAAAAGACGGAGAAACGGGGAGAAGAAUGCCACAUAACAAUGAAGGUAGAGAAUGGGGUUACACAGCUACAGACCAGAGAACAUGAAGGACUGUCACCAACACCACUGCUAAGAGAAGGGCACAGAACAGGUUCUCCCGCAGAGCCUUUAGAGGAAGCAAGACCCUGUCAACAGCUUUUCUGAGUUCUAGCCUUCAGAACUGUGAGAGAAUAAAUUUCAGCUUAUGGUACUUUUUAUAUGACAGCCCAAGGAAACUAACACAAGUAUUGGUGGAACACUUCUUCAACAAAUAGCACUUGAAUUAAGGCAGUGGCAGUAAAAAUGGAGAGGAGGAGGUAUGUGGUAGACCAGGGAUAUAUUUGCUAAAGGACAAACGAAGUAAUGAGACUUAGAAACAGAACGAUGGAGCCACAAAGAAUGCCUGAAAUGGUAAUAGGAUACAUGCUGGAAUGUUGAUGGGCCCCAUUUCCACAAGCCUCCAAAUCUGCUUCUAGAUCCCAUUCAAGCAAGGGAGGAUUUGUUAAGAAGAAAGGCCCUUUGAGAGCACCAGUCCCUCCACCAGCCAGUCUAGUCCUAAGAGCUCUGAAGGCCAACCUUGGAGGUGGUUCAGGAGGGAAAAUGCAGGACCCAGGAUUUCAGUUGCCAAGCCAGAGAGCAGGGGACCCAGGAAAGAAUAUUGGCAUUCAUUUGAUUUUUCCAUCUUCUGAUAUAACCUUCAAAUGUUAAUAGUGUGUCGAAGAAUUUAUUGGAAAUGAGAAACAAGAAAACAGUGAGUCUAACCUAGUCAUUCUAGAAUUGGGAGGUAAUAGAAAAGAGAGAAAUGGGAAAGUUGCUCAAAUGCAAGUCCAGUGAAUCAGAGAGAAAAGGCUCAAAGCAGCAGAACAAAGCUUCAAUAAAGAGAUAUUGUGACUUGGAGAGAUGGCCUUUUGUCCUUUGUUCUAUUACCAGUCAGAGGAUGGGGAGCACACCCGAGCCUGAGACAACAGCUCUGCUAAGUGCCCUUGAGAGGGCACGGUGGGGUCAGCACCAAAGUCAGACCACUAAAGAGAAAAAGAGAGAAAGACAGGAUUGCAGAGGAGAAAUGAGAAUGGCAGAAAAAAUAAUUUUUUAAGCCAAAAGGAAUCAGAGAAGAGCAGAAGUGCCUCUAGGAUAAAGCGUAGCAGGCAGUUAGGGAAAAAGGGCUGUUAACUACCUUGAAGCUCUGACUACAUUAGAAAGCCUCGCAAGACAGUCGUUGCUUGCACGGGCAGGUAGAGAACUUUUCCUGUCCAUUGUUCUUCUGAAUUAUAAAUCACUGACCUCUUUAUGAUUUCUAAAGGGAAAAUGACUUCAAGCUUCUUAGAGUUCCCCUAAGGCAUUCUCUAUAUUCAAUAUAAUAUGGGAAGCCCUGGGUUUGUCUUUGUAUGUUUCAUCUGCAGUGACCUGAAAUCUUCAUAACCCUCUUCCUUUCUCCACUUAUCAACUAAGGGGUGGUUGGCAAUAAGGAUGGGUGGGAGAGAAAAAAAAACAGAAUUUGAGGAGGAGAGCAUUUAAACCAUCAGACUGUGUGUUCUGUGACAUCAAAGACUGGCAACAUUCUAAAGGUAAAUGUAACUAUGCAUCCCUUUGGGAUUUUCAGAUAUCUUGUACAAUCUAUUUUAUUCCUCUAAACAUGGAGACUAUAAAGCUGUGUGGAAAUCAAUAGUUUAAUUCAUUCAUUCAACAAACAGGUGGAAAAGCAGCUGUGAAGUCAUAAUUAUGUUCACUUCCCACUGGCAACUGGCAAGCCCUUUAUUUUUGUGCAUUCGGAACUCACCAAGAAUAAAUAAAGUCCAUUCCCUCCUUGAGGGGCUAUUCUGCCAUUCCAUCUAGGAUUUAAAAGUUUGCCAAUUCCUAAAACAUCUAUUGUUAUCAAUAGUCUUGUGUCUUUCACAAAGCGGACUUUACAAAAUAAGUUAACAGGCCAUGAGAGGAACAGUCACACAUACCAAGAAAGGUACAUACGGAGAUAAUUCCAAUCAAAGUGAGCACAGCCUACGCAUAAACAGGAUUUUCCAAGAAAAAAGCAUUAAAGUGCCAUAGAAUAUUAAAGAGCAAUUAAAAGAAUGAAGAUCUCUUCAUAUGCUGGAUAGGCGGAGUGACCCAGCAAUCAUAUGGACACCAUCCAUUCCAGUGACACUCAAACUUCAGCGUGCAUCAGAAUCCCUGCAAGGCUUGCUAAGACACAGACUGCUGCGCCUACCUCAGAGUUCCUGAUUCAUCAAGCUUGAAGUAAGGCCUGAGAUUUUUGCAUUACUAACAAGUCUUCAGGUGAUACCAAUGCUGCUGAUCUGGAGACUGCCUUUGAGAGCCACUAUUCUAUCUCUUUCCCAAUCAACUGUCCUUUCUCACCUCCCUUUUAAAUCUCCAGCACCUGCUCCCUCAUGUUUACUCUCAAUGCACAAUCUUUUUUUCUCCUUCACUGACAGAAGUGAAACAAUUAAAAGAGAAUUUCCCCAGUCUCUCACUACUGCACCUGCUCACCCUCCCACAAGCACGUGUACUCACUGUGCUUUUCUUGCUGUUUUGAAAGGUGAAUUGUCUGUGGUCUUUCUAGAGCCAAUCUCUUCACAUGUGCACCAGAUUCCAAGACCUGCGGCCCACUCAAGGGCAUCCUGCAUGUCUUCUCCCAUCUCUUACCUUGUCAACUCUUUCCACUUUUUGAGUCAUCCUCCUCAGCACAAAAGAUUGUUACUCACUUAUCUUAAAAAGUAAAAGACUAAACCAACAAAAACAAGAAAAAACAGAAAUAAAACCUUUUACUGGACCCUCUCUCCCUACCAGGUAUGACUCCAUUUCUCUUUGCCUUUGCAGAAAAACAUUUAGAAAGGGGGUCUGUAUUAAUUCUAUCCAGUUCCUCUCCUCUCAUUCUCUCACAGACCCACUGAAAUCAGGUCUUAACUCUCAACAAAAUUGCUCUUACUGAGGUCUCAGAUAAACUUCAGGUUGCUAAAUCUCAUGGCCCACAUUUGGUCCUCUCACAUUUUACCCCCCUUGACAGAGAUGGCACCACUCCUUGAUACUUCUAUUUUUUUGGCUUGUAAGGCUUCCUAAUUCACUGGUUGCUAGUCUCAGAACUUUGCGAAUGACUUAUCUUUUCUUAUACCUCUUAGUCCUGGACUGACUUGCCCCAGAUUGUAGCUUCUUUUUUUAUCCACUCUCCUUCCUUUGGGGAUCUCAUCCAGUCUCCCUCUGUAUGCCCUUUGUUGCCAAAUUUACAUCUCCAGCCCUGAAUGCUCCUUUGCCUCAGACUCCAAAACUAUAUUCAAAGUCUCUCAUUUAGAUCAUUCAAACUUUUCAAGAGUGACUCCUGAUCUUCUCCCAAAUAUCUGAGCUGCUCAAAGCUUUCCAUCUCAGUAGAUGAAAAAUUCACCCCUCUAGUGCUUAGGUCAAAAAUCUUUGAGUCACCCUUGUUUCCUCUCUUUAUUACUCCCACUGUACAUCCGAUUCACCAGGAAGUCUUCCUGUGUUUACCCUAAACAUAAUUCAGAGACCAAUUACUCCUCACCACCUCCAUGGCUAUCACUUUCAUCAGACUUGCUAGAUUUUAGCAAUCGUCUUAUAACUGUUUUCCCAUUCCCACCCUUGCCUCCUUCCAUUCUAUUGCCCACAAAGAAGUAUAAGUGAUCCUUUUGAAACAUAAGUCAGAUCAUGGCAUUUCUUUCCCAAAAAGAAAUGCAAGUGUCUAAAUUCUUCGCCUACCUCAGAGUAAAAGUCCAAGUUCUUAUAUGGCCUUUAAAGACCUCUGUGUACUCUCCUCCUCCCUCCGUUAGCUCUCUGAUCUUCCCUUCUUCUUUUCUUCCUCAUCCUACUCUGCUCCAGCCACGCAGUCUUUCUGGCUAUUUCUUGAACAUAGUAAACAUGAUCCCUCCUCUGAGCUUUGAGUUGUUUCCUUUGCCUGGGAAAUUCCAUCUGGAGACUUCCGGGCUUGCUCACCUAUAUAGGCAAGUCUGUACAUGAGACCUGCUCUGACCACUCAAUUUAAAAUGGCAGCAAAAUCCUUCCUGGCACCCCACCUUUAAAAUGGCAACAAAAGCCUUCCUGGCACCUUUCCUUUCUAGCUUUGGACCUAUUACAUAAUCUAUGUAUCUUUUGUGUUAUCAUCUGCCUUCCCCGCUAGUAUGUAAACUCCACAAAGGUUGAGAUUUUUGUUUGGUUCACUGAUGUAUCCCAAGAACAUAAUUCAGUAUCUAACUUGCAGUGGAAACUCACCAAGUAUUUAUCAAAUUAUUUGAUAAAUGAAUGUGAUGAUAAAUGAAUGUGACUGUAAAAUGAUACUUUAUAGUCACUGGAGAAAUCAGUCUCUGACAUCCCCAGGAACAAAAUCAACAUUCUUUGGAAUAGUCAUUGAUAAAGGGUUCAUAACUUUUUGUGCCAUGGACUUCUUUGGCAGUCUGUCGAAGCCUAUGAACCCCUUCACAGAUUAGUAUUUUUAAAUGUACAAAAUAAAAUCGAUAAACUACAAAUGUAGUAAAUUAUUUUAUCAGAACAUUUUUAAAAUUAUAAAACAAAUUUGUAGCUAAUAGUAAUACACAUACUUUGUUAUCCAUUAAUUGACAACAUCUGGUAGUGGUUCUAAUAACGACCAUAAUUUUGAAGUACUGAUGUCUAUGAAUGAUAUUUCAAGAUGUCUGUAAUAACUCUAAUGUGAUACGAAUGUAUCUGUAAUUUCCAUUGUGAACAAAGUCACUGGUACUGCUAAUAGCACCAUGGUUUCUUGCCUAUAUUCAUAAAUGAAGGAAAUGUUAAAUUUUAGCUAGUUAAAAAAAAAAAAUGAAAAUGAGGUUGUAUUUUCUACAGAUACUUAAAUGAAUGCUUUGGAAACACUUGUAAGGAGUAGAAAUAAAAGCAGAAAGACUUUCCCCUUUCUUACUCCCCCAAAAGGUGCUACUGAAUUGUUGCAGAUAAGGAAAUUGUAAGAUAAUUGAAAAAAAUGAUAAAAAUCUGGAAGAAUUCUGUACCAAGACUGUUUUUGCUUUUGCAAGUGUCUAAAUUCUUGUUCUACUUUAAUAGAAUCAAAUCUGGAAAUUAUCAGAGUGAUGAUGUACGUGGUUCAUAUAAAGCAGACAAUGUGGAACUCCAAGUAUCUGAACAAUCAGAUCAAAAUACCCAGACUACAUAUCAAGAAAGCAGGCUGAGUGUGAUGGUUCAUGCCUGUUAUCCCAGCACUUUGGGAGGCUGAGGCAGGAGGAUUGCUUAG
rnacentral:lncRNA from 1 species